CGCUCACCGGCGCCACGUCUGUGUGAGUGUGUCGGUACAGACGCACACAGCGGGCCGGCGCACACAGACGCAGCCCCUGUACGGGUGCGUUCCGAAACCGCUCUCUAUUCUAUCUAUGCGAAGGCGUCGUAUAGCGGGCACGCUCGGGGCGAGGAAUUUAGAGGCGGGGGUCGUAUCGUUAAUUGUUAUGAAGUUGAUUUCGGUCCUGAAAUUCCGAAAUAGAAUUUGAAUCGUCGCUUUGGAACUCGCUAUCCGAGCUCUGGGUCGCACGUCUGAGCAUAUGUUUUCGUUUACAAGUGUACAUCAACGUUCGGCUCAGUAUUUACGGUGUUAUCACUGACUGAUAACAGCACCGUUGACUUCGAAUGUCUGCCGUCUGCUUAAGGCUUAGAAUCGCGUGAUUUUCUGUGUAGAGUCGGUCGUCAAACAAGUCCAUGGUUAGCGAUUCGACUGACCAUGCGGGGUUCUCGGGUCACGGCAUUGGUUGCUGGUGAUUUACUCAAUACAAAACGCUUGAGAAAGAAGAAUAAGAACUCAAGAAUAUUGUGGAAAAUCAUCAAUGACACAGUUGUAUAAAUACAGACGAUACUAUUGAAAAAUA